UAGAGUUUGAUCAUGGCUCAGGAUGAACGCUAGCGGCAGGCUUAAUACAUGCAAGUCGAGGGGGCAGCAAUGUCACCGGCGAACGGGUGCGUAACGCGUAUGCAACCUGGCCAUAUCAGGGGGAUAGCCCUAGGAAACUGGGAUUAAUACCGCAUAAUAUAAAACCCGGCAUCGGGUAUUAUUGAAAGAUUUAUCGGAUAUGGAUGGGCAUGCGUAGGAUUAGUUAGUUGGUGAGGUAACGGCACACCAAGACGAUGAUGGGUAGGGGUCCUGAGAGGGAGAUCCCCCACACUGGUACAGAGACACGGACCAGACUCCUACGGGAGGCAGCAGUGAGGAAUAUUGGUCAAUGGAGGCAACUCUGAACCAGCCAUGCCGCGUGCAGGAAGAAGGUUCUAUGGAUCGUAAACUGCUUUUGUACAGGAAGAAAUUAUCCCUCGUGAGGGAGCUUGACAGUACUGUAAGAAUAAGGAUCGGCUAACUCCGUGCCAGCAGCCGCGGUAAU
rnacentral:rRNA from 1 species